AUGAGUCUGCUUGGUUGCUGCACAUGAAAGGAGUAUUUCUCCAUGUUUCUGUUUUUGGGACAGUGCUGCUCUCAGUUACAGUUCUAAAGCAGGUCUAACCUCGCUCUAAAAGCUGCAAACUGUUUUCCAUUGGAAAUAAGUUCAUGGUCCAAUCUGUCACCAUGGAAGUUGGAUCUUGCAGGGAGCACAUGGCAAGGAAGCUGACAGGAGAGAGAUAACAGCGUGAGGUUUCAAAAGAACAUGCAGACCUCUUUGGACGUAUAAGGGCAAAAAAAUCCAGCAUGUGCUCUCUAGGGAAGGUCCUUUCUGGCAAUUUAACUUCAAAAAACCAAGAUCAAGACCUUAAAGGAGCACAGGGAAGCCACCACCCACAGCCUUCUCAAUGGAACAGCCUUAUCUACAAAAAGAUUUUGCUUCUGAUGCCUGCUGGCAUGAUUCAAACAUUGAAGACAUUUUUUUUAAAUGCUGAAAGGAAACUAAUAAUCAUAAAUAAAUAAUUCUUUAAUUUCUCUGA